CGGGUGAGUAACACGUGGAUAACCUACCUAUAAGACUGGGAUAACUUCGGGAAACCGGAGCUAAUACCGGAUAAUAUUUUGAACCGCAUGGUUCAAAAGUGAAAGACGGUCUUGCUGUCACUUAUAGAUGGAUCCGCGCUGCAUUAGCUAGUUGGUAAGGUAACGGCUUACCAAGGCAACGAUGCAUAGCCACCUGAGAGGGUGAUCGGCCACACUGGAACUGAGACACGGUCCAG
rnacentral:rRNA from 1 species